UCGUAUUCGAUAAAUUACUUAAACUUUCCAAUAGUGUUUCUGCAUCAUUAAUAGAUAAUCCAAAUGAGGCUGCCUCAUUCUCUGCCGAUUCAUCAUCCUCCUCCAAUUUACUCUGAUCGAUAAUAUCAUCCAUCCCAAAAUCCUCCUUACUCAACCUCAUCAUUCUACUUGCCUGAAUUCCUCGUGCCUCCUCAUCUUGCAUUUCUACAUCAGACCAGUUCUCUCCCUCACUAUCUGUACUUGAAGAACCUCCGUCAUAGAAAUCCUGUUUUUUGUUCCCCCAGUCCUUAGUAUUUGAUUCAUCUUCAUCCUCAUCACUAUCAUCCUCUUCACCUUCUUCUUCAUAUUGGUCUUCUCCUUCACUAUCAUCUGAAGAAUCAUAGUCAUCAUCGAUAUUCAUUACCUCCAACUCAUCAUUGCUAGUACUAUCAUCUACUUCUUCCUCC
rnacentral:antisense_RNA from 1 species